rnacentral:rRNA from 1 species
UACAGAGGGUGCAAGCGUUGCUCGGAAUCAUUGGGCGUAAAGGGUAGGUAGGUGGUCUCAUUUGUCUGGGGUGAAAGCCCAGGGCUUAACCCUGGAAGUGCCCCGGAAACGGUGAGACUGGAGUCUUGGAGAGGGUCGUGGAAUUCCGAGUGUAGAGGUGAAAUUCGUAGAUAUUCGGAAGAACACCAGUGGCGAAGGCGGCUCACUGGACCGGUAUUGACGCUGAGGUGCGAAAGCGUGGGGGAGCAAACAGG